UGGCUCAGAGCUAAAGAAUCUGCCUGCCAAGCAGGAGACCCAGGUUCGAUCCCUGG
rnacentral:tRNA from 1 species